rnacentral:lncRNA from 10 species
AACAGCUCAGGGCUUGUUCCUCUCUUUGCUGAGGAAUGUGACAUCUUGAGUUAAGAACUGCUUUGUUCUUCUCUCCUCUAGAAGCCAAAUGUCCUCCACAGCUUUGCCCAGUGGGACACAUGGCUCCUGACAUACGUAACCCAGGAUGGGAUGCCUUGUUGGAGUCUCUCAGAUAUGGAGCAAAAUGGGCCAUGUGCAGUCAAGACGCCAUCUACCCUGGGCAGCUUGCCUAAGCCUCGAGGGACCUGCCAAUGAUGGAUCUGAGACCUCUUCUGUCCCUGGCUGCCUAUCUGUCUGGUCCUCAUCAAGAACCCAGUGUUCCCACCCGAGAUGGAGACGUGAAUAAUCUUCCUAAGCCUAAUCCUGCCAGAAGCGUGAAGCAAGGGGGAAUUUGGAAGGCGGAACAGGAAAGAGUGGAAGUUUAGUUUACCGCUCUCCAAAAUAGAAGCUCUUUUCCCUGAGAUAGAAGCAAGAUGCUGCAAGAGAAAGGGUCAGAGAAACUGGAUUCAAUUUUAAUUUAGCCUGGAUGCUGAAAUAACCCUAUCUCUACUAAAUGCCAAAUCUUCACAUUCUCUUGGCCAACAAAGUGACUCCAGUGUUGCCACGGCAACCGUCUGUGGGUAGGCAUGAAGGACAGCACCUCACCUUAGCUGCAGCAGCCCACACACACAGCUCACUUUCUGCCUGGACUCCUCUGCCUGCAGCUGGUAUCGGGCCUGUUGGAAUUUGCUCAUCCAUUUCAUCGUGGGCCAGUGUGAAAUGGCACAGUGGAGUUUCUUUGAGGCUACAUGGUGAGAGAAGAUGUCACCGCUCUGACUGACAUACAUAAUGAUGUGUGUGUGUGUGUGUGAACUAUUUGAACUCUUUCAGAAGACGGACUCCUCGAUAAAGCAGUAGUACUCCUGUUUCCAACAUUUCACAUUAUUGUAAGUUGCAUUACAGUGAACAGAAUUUUAUUGAAGCACAAGGGCUAUAUUUCAGGUUCUACUGAGUGUAUCAUUUUGUUUUGUCAGACA